CGGAGCGUGGCGCAGUCCGGUAGCGCAUUUGCUUUGGGAGCAAAGGGUCGCUGGUUCGAAUCCAGUCGCUCCGACCA
rnacentral:tRNA from 1 species